AUGCCGCGUGAGUGAAGAAGGCCUUUGGGUUGUAAAGCUCUUUUGUAGGGGAAGAUAAUGACUGUACCCUAAGAAUAAGGUCCGGCUAACUUCGUGCCAGCAGCCGCGGUAAUACGAAGGGACCUAGCGUAGUUCGGAAUUACUGGGCGUAAAGCGCGCGUAGGCCGUUGAGUUAGUUAAUUGUGAAAUCCCAAAGCUUAACUUUGGAACUGCAAUUAAAACUGCUCGACUAGAGUUUGAUAGAGGAAAGCGGAAUACAUAGUGUAGAGGUGAAAUUCGUAGAUAUUAUGUAGAACACCAGUUGCGAAGGCGGCUUUCUGGAUCAACACUGACGCUGAGGCGCGAAAGUAUGGGUAGCAAAGAGGAUUAGAUACCCUCGUAGUCCAUACCAUAAACGAUGAUUGCUAGAUGUUGGAAAUUUAUUUUCAGUAUCGCAGCUAACGCAUUAAGCAAUCCGCCUGGGGAGUACGACCGCAAGGUUAAAACUCAAAUGAAUUGACGGGGACCCGCACAAGCGGUGGAGCAUGUGGUUUAAUUCGAAGAUACGCGCAGAACCUUACCAACCCUUGACAUGUCUGUCGCGAGUUUAGGAAACUAGACUUUUCGGUUCGGCCGGACAGAACACAGGUGCUGCAUGGCUGUCGUCAGCUCGUGUCGUGAGAUGUUGGGUUAAGUCCCGCAACGAGCGCAACCCCUACUUUUAGUUGCCAUCAGGUCAUGCUGGGCACUCUGAAAGAACUGCCAGUGAUAAGCUGGAGGAAGGUGGGG
rnacentral:rRNA from 1 species